rnacentral:rRNA from 1 species
AACGAACGCUGGCGGCGUGCUUAACACAUGCAAGUCGAACGCGAAAGGGGCUUCGGCCCUGAGUAAAGUGGCGCACGGGUGAGUAACGCGUGGAUAAUCUGCCCUGUGAUCUGGGAUAACACUUCGAAAGGGGUGCUAAUACCGGAUAAGACCACGGAGUCUUAGGACUCUGCGGUAAAAGGUGGGGACCUUCGGGCCUACCGUCAUCGGAUGAGUCCGCGUACCAUUAGCUAGUUGGUAGGGUAAGAGCCUACCAAGGCGACGAUGGUUAGCUGGUCUGAGAGGAUGAUCAGCCACACUGGAACUGAGACACGGUCCAGACUCCUACGGGAGGCAGCAGUGGGGAAUUUUGCGCAAUGGGGGAAACCCUGACGCAGCAACGCCGCGUGAGUGAUGAAGGCCUUCGGGUCGUAAAGCUCUGUCAGAGGGGAAGAAGUGUGCGGGUGCUAAUAUCAUCUGCGCUUGACGGUACCCUCAAAGGAAGCACCGGCUAACUCCGUGCCAGCAGCCGCGGUAAUACGGAGGGUGCGAGCGUUGUUCGGAAUUAUUGGGCGUAAAGCGCGUGUAGGCGGUUUGAUAAGUCUGAUGUGAAAGCCCCGGGCUCAACCCGGGAAGUGCAUUGGAAACUGUCAGACUUGAAUACGGGAGAGGGCAGUGGAAUUCCUAGUGUAGGAGUGAAAUCCGUAGAUAUUAGGAGGAACACCGGUGGCGAAGGCGGCUGCCUGGACCGAUAUUGACGCUGAGACGCGAAAGCGUGGGGAGCAAACAGGAUUAGAUACCCUGGUAGUCCACGCCGUAAACGAUGAGUACUAGUGUUGCGGGUAUUGACCCCUGCAGUGCCGCAGCUAACGCAUUAAGUACUCCGCCUGGGAAGUACGGCCGCAAGGCUAAAACUCAA